AUACGUAGGUGGCAAGCGUUAUCCGGAAUUAUUGGGCGUAAAGAGGGAGCAGGCGGCAGCAAGGGUCUGUGGUGAAAGCCUGAAGCUUAACUUCAGUAAGCCAUAGAAACCAGGCAGCUAGAGUGCAGGAGAGGAUCGUGGAAUUCCAUGUGUAGAGGUGAAAUGCGUAGAUAUAUGGAGGAACACCAGUGGCGAAGGCGACGAUCUGGCCUGCAACUGACGCUCAGUCCCGAAAGCGUGGGGAGCAAAUAGGAUUAGAUACCCUAGUAGUCCACGCCGUAAACGAUGAGUACUAAGUGUUGGAUGUCAAAGUUCAGUGCUGCAGUUAACGCAAUAAGUACUCCGCCUGAGUAGUACGUUCGCAAGAAUGAAACUCAAAUGAAUUGACGGGG
rnacentral:rRNA from 1 species